GACGAACGCUGGCGGCGUGCCUAAUACAUGCAAGUAGAACGCACAGUUUAUACCGUAGCCUGCUACACCAUAGACUGUGAGUUGCGAACGGGUGAGUAACGCGUAGGUAACCUGCCUGGUAGCGGGGGAUAACUAUUGGAAACGAUAGCUAAUACCGCAUAAUAUUGAUUAUUGCAUGAUAAUUGAUUGAAAGAUGCUAUUGCAUCACUACCAGAUGGACCUGCGUUGUAUUAGCUAGUAGGUGAGGUAACGGCUCACCUAGGCGACGAUACAUAGCCGACCUGAGAGGGUGAUCGGCCACACUGGGACUGAGACACGGCCCAGACUCCUACGGGAGGCAGCAGUAGGGAAUCUUCGGCAAUGGACGAAAGUCUGACCGAGCAACGCCGCGGGAGUGAAGAAGGUUUUCGGAUCGUAAAGCUCUGUUGUAAGAGAAGAACGGGUGUGAGAGUGGAAAGUUCACACUGUGACGGUAUCUUACCAGAAAGGGACGGCUAACUACGUG
rnacentral:rRNA from 1 species